CUAGGCUCUUGGAGGCGAAGAAAGACGUGGUAAGCUGCGAAAAGCUCCGGGGAUUUGCAAACAAGAUUUGAUCCGGAGAUUUCUGAAUGGGACAACCCGCUGGAUAGAAGAUCCAGCAUCCGGUAACGGAGGCCAACCCUCUGAACUGAAACAUCUUAGUAGGAGGAGGAAAAGAAAGAAACAUCGAUUUCCUAAGUAGCGGCGAGCGAACGGGAAGCAGCCUAAACCGGUUUUGUUACGGCAAAGCCGGGGUUGUAGGACUGCGACAUUCAAAUGACAACGAACUGGAAUGAUCUGGAAAGUUCAUCCAUAGAGAGUGAAAGGCUCGUACAGGUAAGUAUGUCAUGCGAUAGCAGUAUCCUGAGUAGGGCGGGACACGAGGAAUCCUGUCUGAAUCCGCCGGGACCACCCGGUAAGGCUAAAUACUCCCAAGAGACCGAUAGUGAACCAGUACCGUGAGGGAAAGGUGAAAAGAACCCCGAACAGGGGAGUGAAAUGGAAGCACGGAGCCGAAGCGAAAGCGAGUCUGAACAGGGCGUUUAGUCAGUGGUUGUAGACGCGAAACCUUGCGAUCUACCCUUGAGCAGGAUGAAGGUUGGGUAAAGCCAACUGGAGGUCCGAACGAAUAAGCGUUGAAAAGCUUCUCGAUGACUUGAGGGUAGGAGUGAAAGGCCAAUCAAGCUGGGAAAUAGCUCGUACUCCCCGAAAUGCCUUUAGGGGCAGCGUUGUAAUAAAGAGUCUACUGGAGGUAGAGCUACUGAUUGGAUGCGGGGGCUUCACCGCCUACCAAAUCCCGACAAACUCCGAAUGCCAGUAGUAUGAUUUACAGCAGUGAGCCACCGGGUGCUAAUGUCCGGUGACAAAAGAGGAACAACUCAGACCAGCAACUAAGGUCCCCAAGCGUAUGCUAAGUUGAACUAACGAUGUUUUGUUGCAUAGACAGCUAGGAUGUUAGCUUGGAAGCAGCUAUUCAUUCAAAGAGUGCGUAACAGCUCACUAGUCGAGCGACAAAGCGUGGAUAAUAAACGGGCAUCAAGCAUACCACCGAAGUUCUGGGCGCGAAAGCGCGGUAGGGGAGCAUUCCAUUCAGCGUUGAAGCAGCGUCGUGAGAUGUUGUGGAGCGUAUGGAAAAGCAAAUGUAGGCAUGAGUAACGAUAAUGCGGGAGAGUAACCCGCACACCGCAAGACCAAGGUUUCCUGAUCAACGCUAAU
rnacentral:rRNA from 1 species